UACGAAGGGGGCUAGCGUUGCUCGGAAUCACUGGGCGUAAAGCGCACGUAGGCGGAUCUUUAAGUCAGGGGUGAAAUCCUGGAGCUCAACUCCAGAACUGCCUUUGAUACUGGGGAUCUCGAGUCCGGGAGAGGUGAGUGGAACUGCGAGUGUAGAGGUGAAAUUCGUAGAUAUUCGCAAGAACACCAGUGGCGAAGGCGGCUCACUGGCCCGGUACUGACGCUGAGGUGCGAAGGCGUGGGGAGCAAACAGG
rnacentral:rRNA from 1 species